rnacentral:RNase_P_RNA from 1 species
GAAAGAGGAUUUACGGUCGCGCUUUAUGACCUAACUUAAAGUGAGGAAAGUCCGAGCUCCAAAGAGCCGGGAUGCCCGGUAACGCCGGGGCGGAGAGAUCCGACGGAAAGUGCCGCAGAAAAUAGACUGCCCACCUGCUAAUCUUAUGAUUGGCAGCGGCAAAGGUGAAAACGAGGUGUAAGAGACCCCGCUCGCGCAAAGCAGACUUUGACGAGGGUAAACCCCAUCCGGAGCAAGGCCAAAUAGGAAAAUAGGGGCUGGCUCGCCCUGCACUAUUUUCGGGUAGGCCGCAUUGAGCCGGCAGGUAACUGCCCGGCCCAGAUAAAUGACUGUACUGCCUUUGGGCAGAACAGAACUCGGCUUAUGAUCCUCUCUCUACU